UGGUGGAGUGAUUUGUCUGCUUAAUUGCGAUAACGAACGAGACCUUAACCUGCUAAAUAGCCAGGCUCGCUUUGGCGGGUCGCCGGCUUCUUAGAGGGACUAUCGGCUCAAGCCGAUGGAAGUUUGAGGCAAUAACA
rnacentral:rRNA from 1 species